rnacentral:rRNA from 1 species
AGAGUUUGAUCCUGGCGCAGAACGAACGCUGGCGGCGUGCCUAACACAUGCAAGUCGAACGUGAAAGUCCUUCGGGGCGAGUAAAGUGGCGCACGGGUGAGUAACACGUGGGUAACCUACCCCAAAGUCUGGGAUAACCAACCGAAAGGAGGGCUAAUACCAGAUAAGACCACGGGUACUUCGGUACUCGAGGUCAAAGGAUUUCUUUACGGGUGCCGCUUUGAGAUGGGCCCGCGGCGCAUUAGCUUGAUGGUAGGGUAACGGCCUACCAUGGCUCAGAUGCGUAGCUGGUCUGAGAGGACGAUCAGCCACACUGGAACUGAGACACGGUCCAGACUCCUACGGGAGGCAGCAGUGGGGAAUAUUGGACAAUGGGGGAAACCCUGAUCCAGCAACGCCGCGUGAGUGAUGAAGGCCCUAGGGUUGUAAAGCUCUUUCAGAGGGGACGAAACCCUUGGGAUCAAACCCAAGAAUGACGGUACCUACAAAGGAAGCACCGGCUAACUCUGUGCCAGCAGCCGCGGUAAUACAGAGGGUGCAAGUGUUGUUCGGAAUCAUUGGGCGUAAAGAGCGUGUAGGCGGUUUGGUAAGUCAGAUGUGAAAGCCCUGGGCUCAACCCAGGAACUGCAUUUGAUACUGUCAGACUAGAGUUCGGUAGAGGAGAGUGGAAUUCCCGGUGUAGAGGUGAAAUUCGUAGAGAUCGGGAGGAACACCAGUGGCGAAAGCGGCUCUCUGGGCCGAAACUGACGCUGAGACGCGAAAGCGUGGGGAGCAAACAGGAUUAGAUACCCUGGUAGUCCACGCUGUAAACGAUGGGUACUAGAUGUCGGGGGAAUUGACCCCCUCGGUAUCGAAGCUAACGCAAUAAGUACCCCGCCUGGGAAGUACGGCCGCAAGGCUAAAACUCAAAGGAAUUGACGGGGGCCCGCACAAGCGGUGGAGCAUGUGGUUUAAUUCGACGCAACGCGAAGAACCUUACCCAGCCUUGACUUCUAGAGAAGUCCUAAGAGAUUAGGACGUGCCUUGGGGAACUCUAAGACAGGUGCUGCAUGGCUGUCGUCAGCUCGUGUCGUGAGAUGUUGGGUUAAGUCCCGCAACGAGCGCAACCCUUGUCCUUAGUUACCAGCAUUAAGUUGGGGACUCUAAGGAGACUGCCGGUGUUAAACCGGAGGAAGGUGGGGAUGACGUCAAGUCCUCAUGGCCCUUAUGCCUGGGGCUACACACGUGCUACAAUGGCCGGUACAAAGGGCAGCGAGCUCGCGAGAGUGAGCUAAUCUCAAAAAACCGGUCUCAGUUCGGAUUGGAGUCUGCAACUCGACUCCAUGAAGCUGGAAUCGCUAGUAAUCGCGUAUCAGCACGGCGCGGUGAAUACGUUCCCGGGCCUUGUACACACCGCCCGUCACACCACGAAAGCUGUCUGAACCCGAAAAGGCAUGGCGAACCUUCGGGACGCAGGUCUUUAAGGUCAAACCAGUAAUUGGGGCUAAGUCGUAACAAGGUAACC